rnacentral:rRNA from 1 species
ACAGAGGGGGCAAGCGUUGUUCGGAUUUACUGGGCGUAAAGGGCGUGUAGGCGGAUGUGCAAGUCGGGGGUGAAAGGCCAGGGCUCAACCCGGGACGGUCUCCCGAAACUGCACAUCUCGAGAAAGUCAGAGGCAGGUGGAAUUCCAGGUGUAGAGGUGAAAUUCGUAGAGAUCUGGAGGAACACCGGCGGCGAAGGCGGCCUGCUGGGGCUUUUCUGACGCUGAGGCGCGAAAGCGUGGGGAGCAAACAGGA